GGUCUUUGCAUCGGAAUUAAACACAUUUAUAUUUUUAAAAAACAGUUAUUGGCAUGACACGGGUUAUGUUCUUCUCAUAUAUUUUAUGAUAGUAUGAUACUAAACCCUAACGGGGGGAUUGUGCCUGAUAUUCAUAUGAUGAAGACAUAAUCUUUCAAUCAGUUUAAUUGAGGUCUGGAGCUGGCAUGUCAGUUAACUGCUAGUAGUCUGUUGUUAUUUAUGUAUUAUUGUCAUUUUAUUUAUUUUCUUUUGUUACAUCUUUUGACAUCGGACUCGGACUUCUCUUGAACUGAAUUUUAAUAUGCGUAUUGUUAUGCGUUUACUUUUCUACAUUGGCUAGAGGUAUAGGGGGAGGGUUGAGAUCUCAUAAACAU
rnacentral:lncRNA from 1 species